GGGCCCUUAGCUCAGUUGGUUAGAGCGCUACCUUGACAUGGUAGAGGUCACAGGUUCGAGUCCCGUAGGGCCCA
rnacentral:tRNA from 1 species